GUUUUGCAACGCUCGUGAUGAGACCUCA
rnacentral:rRNA from 7 species